rnacentral:lncRNA from 1 species
UGUCACAGAAUCCCCAGACAUACAGCCUGUUGCAAGGGUGCAGAGGACUCAUGCUCCGGCUAGUCCCCACGCAGGAACCUUUGUCCCAGUGAGAGAGGCUGAGGAGUACGUACCAAGGGACAGUUUGUGAGACUCUGGUAGGUCCGUGACUGAGGGCACCCUUGUGGGAUGCUGAGUGUAGCCAUCAGGAAGCUGGGUCCCAGCCAACUCAGCCUGGGCUCUGCCGUUCUCCAGUGGUCAGAUAAGAAAGAGCGGUGUGGUCCUCUAAGGGAGUGAGCGAGGACUGCAGCUGCUUUGAGCCCUGGCCAGAGCCUCCAAUCAACCUUUGGUUCUGAUAAAGACAAGAAACCCAAGCCCCUCCCUCCCCACUGCUGAUAUAACAGCAUGAAAUUAAACCUAUUCCAGUCUGUGACAUCUGAUCCCUUUGACAUGACAUAGUACAACCUGUAGAGCCAGAGGUGGGGGCCAGGAAGCCCUGUUCUAGUCUCUCUGCACAACCUUGAGCCAUCUCAUCAUCUGCACAUCUGCCUGAACCUCAGUCUCCCACUCUGGACGUUGUCGGGGUGAUGGAGCAAGCAUUCAGUUAUUCUCUGCUGGAUUCUGAUGUGGUCUAAAGUCCACACUUUGUUGUGAAACACCGCAAUCUGUGAUGUACAGAACCUAUUACUGCGGCCACCCAGGAAUGCUGGGGGCAGGCCUUUUGAGAAGGUGAAUCAGCGUGUGUUAGCUCAGGGCAGAGGGCCUGGCGGUGAGACGUGAGAACAGCCAAUGUCAUGGCGGUGGGGGAGUGGACGUGAGCCAUCUGGGGCCCAGCAAACAGCAUGUUGAAAAAAACGAGGAACUCAAAGGCAGAUGAGCCUACCACGCUGGGAACAGUUGGGAGUACAUUGCUCAAGCCCCGGCCAGUUUUAUGUCACUGCUGGUGUGAAGCAGUGAACAGUGACCCAGCAUGCAUCCAGGUGGCGGGACAGAGUCAGACUCUCCAGGGCAGAGAGACUCUAAAACUGACGGCCAGGUCUUGCUCAGACUACGGGCCUGAGGGAAGAUCCAAGACUGAAACAGGUGCCGGAGAUUACAUCCAGGUUGCUGGUCUUGGUGGUGAACAAUACCCUUGCUUACCCCCAAGCCUUCUCACUAACCCUGACGCUCUUUAUACAGGGCUUGGAAUGGAGGGGGUGGAGUUGAGGAGAUCACAGAGGACCUAGGAGUGUGUGUAUCGGAGAGAGAUAGGAAACCACUGACCGUUCAGCACACAUUCAGAAUUACUGCCUGUCCCAGGGAGGGACCCACAGCUCCGGCGCUCCGUUCAGCAUCUGGAAGAGCAUAGCUCGCUGUGAGCGGCCGCCCCAGAAGACUGUAUCCCACCCAGCCAGCUCUCCUGCCUGCUUGCCUCUGCCCCACACCAGGACACUUCAUACUGUCAGAACCACUGGGUGUGUGAGCUUGUGAGAGGGUGUGUGGGCACACAUGUCCCUGUGUGGGGUGUGGAGGUCAGAGGGCAACUUGGAGGAAUUGGUUCUCUCCUUCCACCACUGGGGCCCAGGAAUCAAGCCGAGGUUCCCAGACGUGGUAGCAGCCUCCCUUACCUGUUAAACCAGUGCUUCCCAGACUUCCUAAUGCUGUGACCUCAUGCUGUGCUGACCCCCGCCCAUGACAUUAUCUCUGUUGGUAUUUUAUAACUGUAAUUUU